GAUGAACGCUGGCGGCGUGCCUAAUACAUGCAAGUCGAGCGAACGGACGAGAAGCUUGCUUCUCUGAUGUUAGCGGCGGACGGGUGAGUAACACGUGGAUAACCUACCUAUAAGACUGGGAUAACUUCGGGAAACCGGAGCUAAUACCGGAUGAUAUUUUGAACCGCAUGGUUCAAAAGUGAAAGACGGUCUUGCUGUCACUUAUAGAUGGAUCCGCGCUGCAUUAGCUAGUUGGUAAGGUAACGGCUUACCAAGGCAACGAUGCAUAGCCGACCUGAGAGGGUGAUCGGCCACACGGGAACUGAGACACGGUCAAGACUCCUACGGGAGGCAGCAGUAGGGAAUCUUCCGAAAUGGGCGAAAUCCUGACGGAGCAACGCCGCGUGAGUGAUGAAGUUCUUCGGAUCGUAAAACUCUGUUAUUAGGGAAGAACAUAUGUGUAAGUAACUGUGCACAUCGUGACGGUACCUAAUCAGAAAGCCACGGCUAACUACGUG
rnacentral:rRNA from 1 species